rnacentral:tRNA from 1 species
GGAGUAUAGCUCAAUGGGAAAGCACCUGCUUAGUAUGCAUGAGGUCCUGGGUUCAAUCCCCAGUACCUCCA